CCAGGGUCUCUCACAGUGCCCCAUGCCAGUGCAAACUGUUGCCUUGAAACAUUGCCUGGCUUCUGUGCCACAGGCUACCGGCACUGAAGCAUGGAGAAAUAAA
rnacentral:snoRNA from 1 species